rnacentral:lncRNA from 1 species
CCCAAGCUCCAACGGUCGCUGGUCGCCUACCGAGCUGCGCUAGCACCGCCAGGGGGCGCGGCGUUAGCGGCGGGCUCGGGGCCCUGGGGAGCCGUCAGUCCCCGCCCCUCGGCCCCCUCCCCCCCGGAGUUGUGGCGCGUCUCCUAGGAUGAGGUGAGAGAAAGCAGAUUGCCUUCCGAGGCAUCUGGUGUGGAGUAGAGGGGAGCCAUCAAACACGCCCGGUUGGUUGUCAAGCAGGGAUCUGCCACCACUAAAAACUCAGCACUUCUGUGGUCUCGAAAUUAUUUCUGGCUGUUUCAUGUAGGGCAGCUCUAGGCAAAAUCCUGCGGAAAUCAUGGAAUGUCCAAGUGAGAGAAGACUUAGUGAUCUUCUGGUCUGACACUCUGCCCGGGAAAGGACAUCCAGUGACAGCUGCCAUCCCAACACCUGCUCACCAUCCUCAGCUUGCCCUCCUCACAGGGACGCCCACCAUGUAUUAAUAGAAUAAUUGAAAAUAAGAAUAUCCAGAAACUGAGACAAGAACAACAGGAACCAAACAGGGACGCAUUUAUAACUCAGGAUCUCUAAGAAGAGGCAGAAGUAGUUAAUAUGGAACCGAAACCAUGUGAGUCAAAUGCUGAAGAUCUUUUAUCAAGUAGUGGGAUCACAUCCAACAGAGGUCCUUCAGGCUCAUUUGUUGUGUCAUCUAUUCGUGGUACACUAAUUGAAAACCCAGCUUCAACUGGGACUUUGACACAGAUUCCUAUUUUCCCAAAAUAUGAAGUGGAAGUUGAUUCUCCUAGAAAAAUCAUUGCUUAUCCAGGGAAGGAGCACAGUGAAUGUGUUUUGGAAGAAUAUUCACACCAAGUCAAAGAUUUGCAAAGAAGACUAAAUGAAAGCAAUGAACUGCAUGAGAAACAAAAGUUUUACCUAAGGCAAUCAGUCAUCGAUUUGCAGACAAAAUUUCAAGAGAUGCAGAUGGAGAGUGAUGCCAUGGCAGACAUCAGACGAAGGGAGAAUCAGUCCCAGGAGGAUUUGAGAAAUCAGCUUCAAAACACAGUUUAUGAACUUGAAGCUGCCAGAUGCCUUGAGGACAUGCUAAAAGAUAGCAGCACACAGAUAGAGCAGCUCAGAAGGGUGAUGCUUAGUCACAAAGGAGUCCUGCAGGAAAUCUGGACCAUCCUAGUUGACUUUGAAGAAGCCUCAGGCAAGAAAAUACAUGAACAGGACAACAUGUCUACCAUGCCCUUCCGAAGCUUGGGCACAGCUGUUAGUAAAAUGCUAAGAGAAUUAGACACAGAAAUUUCUUAUCUGAAAGGGAGGAUAUUUCCAGUAGAAGAUCAACUUGAAACACUGAAAGCUGAAGCACAGAACAAAAUAGAACUACUACUGCAACAACAUCAAGACAGAUAG